GAUUGCAGCAGCUAAAAACUGUGUCCAGAGAAUAUAAACUUGCUUAGGACUAUUGGCUUUCUGUACGUUUAUGGAUCAUAGUUCAGGCAAAAGCACUGUGUUCAGGGAAGGUAAAUUCAUAUCCAGAGUAGGCAUCUAUUUUAGUAGGAAUGAAAUGCUGUUGUAGGGAGUGAAAGUCCAUUUUACUGAGGCCAUGCAUAAGCUCCAUUCCUGCUGCCAUUUGAUCUUAUUUCCUACAGCUCAUCAGCAUGAAGCCUCUGACUACUG
rnacentral:lncRNA from 1 species